rnacentral:rRNA from 1 species
UACGAAGGGGGCUAGCGUUGUUCGGAAUCACUGGGCGUAAAGCGCACGCAGGCGGAUCGUUAAGUCAGGGGUGAAAUGCCAAGGCUCAACCUUGGAACUGCCUCUGAUACUGGCGAUCUUCGAGUCCGGGAGAGGUGAGUGGAACUGCGAGUGUAGAGGUGAAAUUCGUAGAUAUUCGCAAGAACACCAGUGGCGAAGGCGGCUCACUGGCCCGGUACUGACGCUGAGGCACGAAAGCGUGGGGAGCAAACAGG